AUGUCUGUAUUCCUGGACAUUGUUCAUGUUAUCAGACAUUGUGUUUUUCCCCUUCUUAACUUACUCAGUGUUCUUCCUUGGUGUGCCCCUGAGGGUCUCAGGACAGAAAAGGUGGAUGAGCACUCCAGCUGUCGCUAUGAUGGUCUGCCUGAGAGAUGCCCGCUGGAGCUGAGAAAGAUGGAGUGGGUGGAUGAGCACUCCAGCUGUCGCUAUGAUGGUCUACCUGAGAGAUGCCCACUGGAGCUGAGAAAGAUGGAGGUGAGCAACACACCAGCUGUCUCCGUCAUGGUCUGGCUCAGACAUAAGCAGUGGAGCUGAGAAAAGUGGAGUAGCUAGCCUAAUACAACUAAUUAUUUACCUUGGAAGCUGGGGAGACUCUCACACCAGGUCUGUUGUUGGUCUUCCGUGUCCCUUUGUUGCUGAUUGACACAUGCUGUUGACAAAUGGGGGAAUCAUUAAUGGCAUUCCAUAUGCUAAAAUUAAAAAUCACCUUUAAAAAUGGGUACACUGGUGAUUCUUAGAAUUUAUUCACACAAAAUAGGACCAAGCAGUGCAGCUGUAUGCUUCAACAAUUGGAUAGUUGUAACUUUUAUUAAACAAUGUAGAUUUGGAUAUAAAAAUGAAAUUAAGAUAAAAUAUAAAGUUUAGACUUACAGUUGCUGAGAGCAUUUACUGCUCUGCUCUGUGAAACCUGAGGUUGCACAAUAGGACCUGAUAAUAGAAAUGUAACUUUUUAAAGGUCUGUUAAACACCUUUAAUCUUACUACAUACUGGGUCAUUUUGUGUCAGAUCAUCCAAAAUUCAGAAACUUUCCUGAAUCAAAUUUGAUAUUUUCAAUAUUUUUUUUUCUUAAAGGGACAAUAAGUAACUUUUUAGGUAUUUUAUUAUCUAAAAUCAAUAUUUUUAUUCAUAAAUAUGCCCUCAAUGGUGUACAAAUACCUAUGCCAAUGUUUAAACUAAUCCUUGUAAAUGAAGAAUUUAUUAUCUUUAUAUACAUGGGACGGGUAGGUCGACGGAGGCUUCCAUGUAGUUCCGCCAUCUUGCAAAACUAUAAUAGCAGAGAGGGACAAAAAGUACUAAGCCAACGCGUUUCCACAACGCGUUUUCGGUCAGAGCCAGAAACGCAGGUGCAGAGCAGUGAGAGGCGCUUGAAACUGCACCGGCAAGUUUAAAAGUCUGGAUUGCAUUCUUAUUAUGGACCAUACAUAUGCCGCGCCACAGGAGAAGAAAACAUAGUCGCCAAAACGGUAAAAAAUAGAACGUAAAAGGAAACGUGACCGUAGAUUACAGAAAACAAGAGUUAAUGUCGGGGAAGCUUUUUCUAGGUGGAAAGAGCUAAUGCUGGAUAAAGAUUUCAAAAGAGACACUGAAGUGGCCAGUUUUCUUCUCGACAGGUAAGUCACUGUUACAAUCUAUAUUAUAAUAUUUUUUUUAUAUCUAACAAUGCAUAUAAUUCAGAAAAUAUAAUGAAUAAAUUAGACAUAACUACUAAUUACAAUAUUUCAUGUUUUCCACAGUCAGUAAUUCAUACUGUAACAUUCGUUUGUUUAUGGUCAUGUUGCAGUUUGUUUGAAAUAACACACCUGUUCACCUGAAGGAAAACUCGACGAAGUGCUAUUAGAAGACAUCCUGUCAACGCUUUUUGGUACAUAUCGCCUACCGUAGAUGCAACGCGCAUUUGAAAAAGCGAGGCGCUGGAGAGCAAAAUUAGUUUGAAUGCAAAAUACAAUUUCACCACUAGAUGGGAGUAAUUCCUACUUAGUGCCCCUUUAAACCAAAAUAUUGAAUGUCACAAGAUUGUUGAAGUCAACAGAUUUUACUAAUAUAGCUACCAAUCUUUAUGUAAAAAAUAAAAUAACAAUGCUGCCAUCUUUCUAAUUCCAUUGUUAUGUGGUUGUUAAAUCUUCAUGGUGACCCAUUCAUUUUUUUUAUUACUAUUAUUAUUAUUAUCAUUAUUAUUUUCCAUUUACCUUUUUUUUUAGUUUAGGAAUGGCUGGAGGUUUUGGUGCAGGUGGAACACUUGUUUUGUUUGCAGCUUUUCUUUUUUUAAUGGGUGGUUCUGCUGCCUCUUCAUCUGAUGAGUAUAUAUGAUCUGUACUUGUUUUCUUUCUAGGAAAAAAAAGAUAAAAAGAACAACUGCACACAUUCAUUGCCUCUUUGUGUGAUGUAGCAAAUACUCAUAGAAAUGUGCUCAAUAACUUUUCUGCUUUAUUUCUCCUUAAAGGGUUAGUUCACCCAAAAAAUGUGAAUUAUGUCUUUAAUUACUCACCCUCAUUUUGUUCCAAAUCUGUAAGACCUUUGUUCAUCUUCAGAACACAAGUUAAGAUAUUUUUGAUGAAAUCUGAGAGCACUGUGAUCCUGCAUAGACAGCUUUGCAACUACUACCUCAAGGCCCAGAAAAAAAAUAAGGACUAUAGUGGUUCAACCCUAAUUAUGAACUGAGGAUAAUACUUUUUCAACAGUUAUUUUUUUUCUGUGUCAGUCUCUGACAUGCAUUCAUGACAGGUGCUGAUGCAGGAGCCGGCAUUUUGACUAAAAAAAAAAAAAAAAAAACACUGUUUUAACAAUGACUUUAAUACCUUCCUGAGAUGGUAGUGGCAUUGAUGUCUAUGGGGUAUUUUAUAAUAAUAAUAUCUUAAUUUUUGUUCCAAAGAUGAACGCAGGUCUUGUUGGUUUGGAAUGACAUGAGGGUGAGACAUUUUUGGGUGAACGCUCCCUUUAAUGCCUCCCUUAAAACAGUUUAUACUACUGGGGUGUUGAAUGCUUGAAUCUGAUUGGCUGACGAACUGAGGUGUGUAAUUAUUUUCUGUUAAACGCAUGGCGAACGUAGUUCCAGGCAGAUCUCUUGACCACAAUACAGUUCCACAUCACUUUGCAUAGUAAGCUGUAAUAACAAAUUACAGGACUAACAAAAACCAAUCAGCCAAUCAGAUUCAAGCAUUCAACGGCCUCGUAGUAUUAAACAGAUGACACAUGAAGGCAAAUGAUGCCAUUUUCAUUUGUUAAAUCAUUUCUUUUGUCUUUUUGCGAGGACCUACUUGGGAAUCCUUUUUCCAGCAAUUUCAGGUUCUGAGUUUAUGUCAGAAGUAUAGCUGGCCUUCUUCCAAUUGUUGGCUACAUUCUGGAAAGAUGCUGAAAACAAGAAAUGCAGGUACGGCUUCAUUUUUGUUUAUUAAAGCUAUAUGAGAUCAUGUUUUACAGUGUAUAUAAAUUAUGUGCAAAGAUUCUGAAAAAUGAAAAACAGAUAAUUAGUGGUCGACUGAUAUUUUUUUGACUGCCGAUAUCUCAAGAUAUCAGGAUGGCUAAUAUAAAGUGAAAUAUAUAUAUAUAUAUAUAUAUAUAUGUGUGUAUAUAUAUUGUAUAUAUGUGUGUGUGUGUCUGUGUGUGUGUAUAUAUAUAUAUAUAUAUAAUAUAUUAGUGGUGGGCCGUUAUCGGCGUUAACGUGCUGUGCUAACGCGAGACUCUUAUCGGGCGAUAAAAAAAAAUAUCGCCGUUAAUCUAUUCUCAAAGUUUGGUUGGGAGCAGGGUCUAUACUAAGCAAGCUAUGAUGACUUUCACCUUGAUAUUUUAUAUAACCGACUGGCUGAGACCAGCCUAAAAAGAUGCUCAGGACAGUUGACGGGCCACUGCUGCGCAUCAUCACGAAAGCUUAUCUUUUUCACAUGUUUUACCGCUCAUCGAUUUAAACAUUAAAGAAUCCAAACACAAGACGCGGAAAAGCUGAACAGAGUAGCUGGUCACUGGUGUUCAGUGCGCACGAGAGACAUUGAGAGAGAGAGAGAGAGAGAGAGCCGCAUAUCACGGACAGCGACACUGAACCGAGCUCUCUUCUGCCAAUGAGAUUGGCGUAGUUUUUUUUUACUUCCUUCUUUUGCACUCCUGAUGAUGUUUGGGGCCAUUUCAUUCAGAGAUGUUUCCAUGUUCUUCGCCAAGUCUGUUCCAAACCUCAUUGUCAUUUCAUGCAGUGUUAAUUUUGACACGAAAUUUUAAUUUAGUUUUAGUCUUAGUCUUUUGACUAUAAUUCUUUUUCGUUUUAGUCAAGUUUUAGUCAUCUGAUUUUUUUUUAAUUUUAGUCGACUAAAAUUGCUUGGUAUUUUAGUCGACUAAAAUAAGACUAAAAUCAAUAACAGAUUUACUAGACAAUUUUUUACAGCUGGUAUAGGAAACAAACUUAACCAAAAUAUAUAAAACACAAAUUCAACUUUAUUUCAACACAACUGUGUCUUUAUUUCGAUUCAAAAGCUUUUAUGCAGCAACAAACACUGUCAUGAUAAUGUAAACAAUAACUAGCUGCCAAUUGACCAUCAAUAAAAGAAAAAUAAGUUAGGUCCAG
ensembl:lncRNA